rnacentral:lncRNA from 1 species
UUGAGUGUCUGCUUUGUAUUUCUCCAAAGCCUCAUUGUUCUCCUUCUGUAUCUAUUCUUUCUCAACGAGGUGUUGCUUCCCAAGGGCUUCCAAUUGACGAACCCUCUCUUCCAACUCUUUUUCUCAGACCUCCAAUGAUUGGUACUUGGUCUCCGAGGUGGAGACAGAUUCUGUAAGCUCGAGAUUUUAACGGACAAUAGCUUCAUUAAUUGGGGCAGAGUUGGUUAUGUGAUUGCCCGGCAAAGAGAAUGAUCCUCUCAUAUUUUGUUCGCCUAGCCUCAUUCUCAUCACAAUCCCCUUGGAGGGCCCAGCUCAUAAGUCCGCACUUCGUUGCCAACAUGGAAAAGGAACUCACCAACUCCGGGAGAGUUGAUUUGUGAACACCCUUGGAAGAAGAAGAGGGGUAAGCAAACUCUUUUAAUUCCUGGGAAAAUUCACUUUUUUGUUUCUGUUGAACAACAAAGGGAGAGAAAGGAUAUUGCCCCGCACCAAUGUGCUUCCACCACUUCCUCUUGUAUCUCAUAGUACGCCACAUGGAAA